CAGUAGCCGCGGUAAUACGAAGGGUGCAAGCGUUAAUCGGAAUUACUGGGCGUAAAGCGCGCGUAGGUGGUUUGGUAAGAUGGAUGUGAAAUCCCCGGGCUCAACCUGGGAACUGCAUCCAUAACUGCCUGACUAGAGUACGGUAGAGGGUGGUGGAAUUUCCUGUGUAGCGGUGAAAUGCGUAGAUAUAGGAAGGAACACCAGUGGCGAAGGCGACCACCUGGACUGAUACUGACACUGAGGUGCGAAAGCGUGGGGAGCAAACAGGAUUAGAUACCCCCGUAGUCCCUGUCUCUUAUAA
rnacentral:rRNA from 1 species